CAGUGGGUGAGGUUGGAGGACCAGCAUGGGAGGCCAUACUUCUACAACCCAGAUGACUCCUCUGUUCGGUGGGAGCUGCCCCAGGUUCCUGUCCCUGCCCCUCGAAGCAUCCGCAAAUCCAGCCAGGACAGUGACACCCAAGCCCAGGCCAGCCCCCCAGAGGAGAAUAUCAAGACCCUGGACAAGGCAGGUGUGCUCCAUCGCAC